GUCAGUGUUUAGUCUUUGGUCUCCUGAGCACUUUUAAGAGCAGUCCAGGAGCUGGAAUGACAGAGCUGUGUGCACUCCUUUGGGAAGAGCUGUCAGAUCUGUCGCAGCCAUUUUUUUUUUCUUCUCUUCCCACUCUCCCGACUCUCACUCCGGCUGCUUUGAAGUCGGCUCAUACCUGCUGUCACGUACCACCUGUUUCGUUCCCAGCCGGUCAGCGCCGGAUUAAAUGGACGCGGGACGGAGCUGAACUGAGCGGGACCGGCCUGGAGAGAUGAUGAAAAUCUUAUUGACGUGAUUAUUCUGUUUGGGUUCCUGGGGUGCGGAGAAACUGGAUUCAUGGGUUAUAGGGGUAACUUUGGGUUCAGCUUCAGACUUUGUUAAUAAUAAUAAUAAUAAAAUAAUAAAUCUUGUUAUGCCAUAUUUUGCUAUGAGCCACAUUUAAAAUCAUUUAAUUACCUAAAAAAUUGACAAUGCACCUUAUAAUGCUCGGUUCUGAUUCACCCUGACAGAUAGUCAUAAUGAGAAAAAGUAUAUUUACAGAGAUCUAUCUAUGAUGCAUAAUAUGUUUGAUAUAUGAUAUAAUGAAUUCACAUACAACUUUUUGUGUGUCCGUGUUCACAGGUUAUUCUUUAAAAGUUCGCAUCAUCAUUCAUCCUAUCUGACAUCAUUCGACUUCUCCUGCUUCCUCUGAUCCAAAGCAAUAGAGGCGACUGACUACAAACUGUCCACCUGCAGGCCUCCUAUGCGGAAUAAGCAGUUUGGAUAAUGGAUGGAUGCGUACUUGCAUAAUAAUGAAUGUAUCACACAACUAUUAUUCGCAGUUGUCAUCAAUCAUGCCGCGUGACGACCGCGUUGGAUUCUUUCAUUCCCGCAACACAGUGCGCAUGACAUUUUACUGAUGCAAGUGAAAUCAUUUUACACGGAGGUCUGCGAUCAGCAGGUCCCGCUGUGAAAAGCUCUCCAAAAGUGCUGAAACAAAUAAAAGGAGGCAGCCGGAGGAGACGAGAAGGCGGGAAAGCGAAGGAAUCGGAAAGCUCGAGGUCGAAGCGGCGAGCUAAAAACAAUCUUUAAUCUUUGUAAAGCGCAAUUACAUUGGUCUUCUUGAACCUGCUG